rnacentral:rRNA from 1 species
AUCAUUGGGCGUAAGCGUCUGCAGGCGUGUUUAUCAAGUCUGUUGUUAAAGACUGGAGCUUAACUCUAUCAUGGCAAUGGAACUGCAUAGACUAUGAGUAUGGUAGGAGUAGAGGGAAUUUCUAGUGUAGCGGUGAGAUGCGUAGAUAUUAGAGAGACACCGAGUGGCGAAAGCGCUCUACUGGACCAUUACUGACACUCAGUAGGACGAAAGCUAGGGUAGCAGAAAGGGGAUUAGAUACCCCUGGGUAGA